CAGUAGCCACGGGAACACGAAGGGUGCAAGCGUUACUCGGAAUUACUGGGCGUAAAGCGUGCGUAGGUGGUGGUUUAAGUCCGUUGUGAAAGCCCUGGGCUCAACCUGGGAAUUGCAGUGGAUACUGGGUCACUAGAGUGUGGUAGAGGAUAGUGGAAUUUCCGGUGUAGCAGUGAAAUGCGUAGAGAUCGGAAGGAACAUCUGUGGCGAAGGCGACUAUCUGGGCCAACACUGACACUGAGGCACGAAAGCGUGGGGAGCAAACAGGAUUAGAUACCCCCGUAGUCCCUGUCUCUUAUAC
rnacentral:rRNA from 1 species